CAACAAUGUAAACAGAUUAGUUUCAAAAACAUUAGUUACUCUGUUAAAUAAGAACAAAAAAAAACCUAUAAGAAAAAAUGGCAUUUAAACCAACUAGUUUUAUGAUUAUUGGAUUUCUCUUGGCAGUGUCUUGUAUUCUGAGCAUCCGAGCAGUCCCGACUUGUCCCUCUCAUGAAGAUGGUACCCCGACAUACCUAGAAGACCCUACAGAUUGUUCAUAUUUCUACGAAUGUAGUAACGGAAAGGCCCUCAGAUUCCAGUGCGCAACCGGUACUUAUUACGACACUAGCAUAGACCGCUGCAAUCGCGCCACCGAAGUCGACUGUGGUACCAGAUCAACAACAGCCAGUGAUGCCACUACAAGUCCUUCCUUUUAGACCUUCAGCGUGAACUACAUCUUAUUAAAAAUCUUUAAAUAAAAUUUUUAAAAUCUAAAA